rnacentral:lncRNA from 1 species
GGGACACAAGAAAUGGGCUUCUCUGUCAGGUGAGCCGUUUGCUGGCCAGCUCCCAAACAGGCAUCAAAGCAGACGCUCAUUAUGAGGGCAGAAGCCGGGCGGGCCUGAACAAGCCCAGAGAGCCUUCUGGCACUCAUGCGCUUUGCAGUCUGAGCUGCAAUCUGAUUCCAUCUCAAGUGCCCAAUAGGUCAGUUGUGUCAAGAAACAGGAAGCUUUAUUUAUUUUUCCUUAGGCAGCAACAUGUAUUUUCAGGGCAGCAGUUUGGAGUUCCUGUCCCCAUGCCAAGGGGACUGGCCCCUUCCAGGUGUGAGUCACCUUGGUUCCUAUUUGUGCACAUCUCCGACCUGAAGGACCCGGCCCUGGAGGAGACAUGGAAAUGCAGGGCUUGCUUUCAGGAAGCAGGCCAGGGACUCUCGGAUUUGCCGUGGUCUACCUGCAAGGUGGCUCCCACCUGGCCAUGAUGUGCUGGGGCAGGAGCACCAAGGCCGAGUAUUUGUGUUACCAGGUCCUGCCCCACCCUGCAACACCCAUGCUCCCUGGAUCGCAAAGGCUUCAAACCUCCCAGCUCCCCAGACAAAAUAGCCAAAAGCACACCCAGCAGCAUUUCUCAGAGCGCCUUGUGCACACUGAACUCUGCACAUGUGCAACCGAGAACAAGUUGGGUAGAUGGAACAAGACAGGUGUUAUCAGUUUCUUAAGAGCUCACGCAAAUUGAUAAGAACCAAAGGAGCAAAGAUCAGAAACAGUCCGCAGGAGGAGAGAGUCAACAAACCUCAGAGUGGGUCUACCGAGUCAUCAAGGAGGGGCCCAAGGGUAAGGGCUAGUCAAGGUGUAGAUCAUUCCAGCGCUGCUGGAACCCCCAGCACUGGCUUUCCUCCGGGGUGGCAGAUGUGUUAAGUUGGAAAGACACCCAUCAGAAGACACCUGCCCAGCACAGAAAAAGGUUCAUCGUGGUUGUACCACUGACAGUAAUCCUGAGCCACCCAUGGAGGGGCUGUUUGCUGGCAGAUGUUUCUCAUAGUCUGCAGUGAGUUACCUUCAGCUUAGCACUGAUCUAAAUGCCCAGAGAUGAGGCUGGCUUAAUGAAUCGCACAUCUGCUAGAAAGGAUGGGGAGGAGGUCACAGCCAUAUGGAGUAAGAGUGGCUCCCAGCCUCCAGGCUGACCACCAUGUGGAUGCCGUUCGUGUUUUUAAGAUUUUUAUUUUUAUCUUUAUUUAUUUAUUUUUUUAAGUAGGCCCCACUCCCAGCACGGAGUCCAGCACAGGGCUUGGAACUCACGACCCUGAGCUUAAGACCUGAGCUGAGAUCAAGAGUUGGACUCAUAACCAACCGUGCCGCCCAGAUGCCCCAUGUUUGGGUGCCGUUCAGUCCUCAUGGUAAGCCUCUGAGCUAGGGCCUGUUAGCCCCAUUUUACGGGAGGAUCAAGUGGGCCCAAGGUCACACAUUCCCAGAGGAUGGCAGGGAGGGGCCAGGGGAUGGGGCCACAGGGCCAAACAGCUCCCACGGGCCCAGAAUUGCACCUACAGGGCCCUCCCUUGAGGGUGAAAGAAUGGAGGGGGAGAGUGGAGAAAGGAGCAGCCUUGCCAGCACUGAGAGGCCCCAGCCCCAGCCCCAAGGGGGUGGUCAGGAGGAAAUAAGAUGCAGAUAAGAACUGUGGGGGUGGGUCUAGGAGAGAGGAGUGGUCCUACGAGAAGGUUUGCAUGGACCACUGUGGAGAAGGAGAGCCUGGCUGGCUGGGGGGUCAUGGGUUCAUGGUGGCAUCUCUGGGGUGUUAUUUCCACUCCCCUGUUCAACCCAGGGCCAGUGGUUUUGGAUGGCUGACUUUGGAGGCAAGGGGCCACCCUCAGUGUGUAGUGGAAGCACUAGGUCCACAUGAAUGAGGGGAGAAACCAAGGUCAUGUCUUUUUUUUUUUUAAUUUAUUUUUUAUUGGUGUUCAAUUUACCAACAUACAGAAUAACCCCCAGUGCCCGUCACCCAUUCACUCCCACCCCCCGCCCUCCUCCCCUUCUACCACCCCUAGUUCGUUUCCCAGAGUUAGCAGUCUUUACAUUCUGUCUCCCUUUCUGAUAUUUCCCACACAUUUCUUCUCCCUUCCCUUAUAUUCCCUUUAACUAUUAUUUAUAUUCCCCAAAUGAAUGAGAACAUAUAAUGUUUGUCCACCAAGGUCAUGUCUUGAUCUUUGUUCCCUCCCCAGACCCCUAGGCAUCCAAUACGCUACUAUCUUACUCAGGUACAUCCUGGACAUAUUAGUUUGCUCUGGCUGCCAUCACAGAGUGGCCUGGUCUAGGUGCUUUAGAACAACAGAGAUCUAUUUGUUUCCUCACAUCAAGGACAUCAAAUAAAUGUUUGUUUAUUUAAAUAUUUUGUUUUUAA